UGUUCGGCGUGCCUAACCAUGCAAGUCGAACGGAGAAUCAGCAAUGUAUUCUUAUUGACUAACGGGUGAGUAACGCGUAUACAACCUGCCUUCUAGAUGGGGACAACACUGCGAAAGUGGUGCUAAUACCGAAUGUUGUAUUAAGCCUGCAUGGGCUUGAUACUAAAGGUGGCCUCUAUUUAUAAGCUAUCACUAGAAGAUGGGUCUGCGUCUGAUUAGCUAGUUGGUGAGGUAAUGGCUCACCAAGGCGAUGAUCAGUAGCCGGUCUGAGAGGAUGAACGGCCACACUGGGACUGAGACACGGCCCAGACUCCUACGGGAGGCAGCAGUGGGGAAUCUUCCGCAAUGGACGAAAGUCUGACGGAGCAACGCCGCGUGAGUGAAGAAGGUUUUCGGAUCGUAAAGCUCUGUCUUUGAGGACGAAUGUGUCUAAUGUGAAUAAUGUUAGAUAAUGACGGUACUCGAGGAGGAAGCCACGGCUAACUACGUGCCAGCAGCCGCGGUAAUACGUAGGUGGCAAGCGUUGUCCGGAAUUAUUGGGCGUAAAGCGCGCGCAGGCGGGAUAUUAAGUCUGUUUUAAAAGUUCGGGGCUCAACCCCGUGAUGGAAUGGAAACUAAUAUUCUUGAGUGCAGGAGAGGAAAGUGGAAUUCCCAGUGUAGCGGUGAAAUGCGUAGAUAUUGGGAGGAACACCAGUGGCGAAAGCGACUUUCUGGACUGUGUCUGACGCUGAGGCGCGAAAGCCAGGGGAGUGAACGGGAUUAGAUACCCCGGUAAUCCUGGCCGUAACGAUGGGUACUAGGUGUAGAUGUAUCGACCCCU
rnacentral:rRNA from 1 species